UACGAAGGGGGCUAGCGUUGCUCGGAAUCACUGGGCGUAAAGCGCACGUAGGCGGCUUCUUAAGUCAGGGGUGAAAUCCUGGAGCUCAACUCCAGAACUGCCUUUGAUACUGAGAGGCUCGAGUCCGGGAGAGGUGAGUGGAACUGCGAGUGUAGAGGUGAAAUUCGUAGAUAUUCGCAAGAACACCAGUGGCGAAGGCGGCUCACUGGCCCGGUACUGACGCUGAGGUGCGAAAGCGUGGGGAGCAAACAGG
rnacentral:rRNA from 1 species